rnacentral:rRNA from 1 species
GGGUUGUGAGGUUAAGCGACUAAGCGUACACGGUGGAUGCCCUGGCAGUCAGAGGCGAUGAAGGACGUGCUAAUCUGCGAUAAGCGUCGGUAAGGUGAUAUGAACCGUUAUAACCGGCGAUUUCCGAAUGGGGAAACCCAGUGUGAUUCGUCACACUAUCAUUACGUGAAUACAUAGCGUAAUGAAGCGAACCGGGGGAACUGAAACAUCUAAGUACCCCGAGGAAAAGAAAUCAACCGAGAGAUUCCCCAGUAGCGGCGAGCGAACGGGGAGCAGCCCAGAGUCUGAAUCAGCUUGUGUGUUAGUGGAACGGUCUGGAAAGUCCGACGGUACAGGGUGAUAGUCCCGUACACCAAAAUGCACAGGUUGUGAACUCGAAGAGUAGGGCGGGACACGUGGUAUCCUGUCUGAAUAUGGGGGGACCAUCCUCCAAGGCUAAAUACUCCUGACUGACCGAUAGUGAACCAGUACCGUGAGGGAAAGGCGAAAAGAACCCCGGCGAGGGGAGUGAAAAAGAACCUGAAACCGUGUACGUACAAGCAGUGGGAGCCUCUUUAUGGGGUGACUGCGUACCUUUUGUAUAAUGGGUCAGCGACUUAUAUUCUGUAGCAAGGUUAACCGUAUAGGGGAGCCGAAGGGAAACCGAGUCUUAACUGGGCGUUAAGUUGCAGGGUAUAGACCCGAAACCCGGUGAUCUAGCCAUGGGCAGGUUGAAGGUUGGGUAACACUAACUGGAGGACCGAACCGAACCGACUAAUGUUGAAAAAUUAGCGGAUGACUUGUGGCUGGGGGUGAAAGGCCAAUCAAACCGGGAGAUAGCUGGUUCUCCCCGAAAGCUAUUUAGGUAGCGCCUCGUGAACUCAUCUUCGGGGUAGAGCACUGUUUCGGCUAGGGGGUCAUCCCGACUUACCAACCCGAUGCAAACUGCGAAUACCGAAGAAUGUUAUCACGGGAGACACACGGCGGGUGCUAACGUCCGUCGUGAAGAGGGAAACAACCCAGACCGCCAGCUAAGGUCCCAAAGUCAUGGUUAAGUGGGAAACGAUGUGGGAAGGCACAGACAGCCAGGAUGUUGGCUUAGAAGCAGCCAUCAUUUAAAGAAAGCGUAAUAGCUCACUGGUCGAGUCGGCCUGCGCGGAAGAUGUAACGGGGCUAAACCAUGCACCGAAGCUGCGGCAGCGACACUAUGUGUUGUUGGGUAGGGGAGCGUUCUGUAAGCCGUUGAAGGUGGCCUGUGAGGGUUGCUGGAGGUAUCAGAAGUGCGAAUGCUGACAUAAGUAACGAUAAUGCGGGUGAAAAACCCGCACGCCGGAAGACCAAGGGUUCCUGUCCAACGUUAAUCGGGGCAGGGUGAGUCGACCCCUAAGGCGAGGCCGAAAGGCGUAGUCGAUGGGAAACAGGUUAAUAUUCCUGUACUUGGUGUUACUGCGAAGGGGGGACGGAGAAGGCUAUGUUAGCCGGGCGACGGUUGUCCCGGUUUAAGCAUGUAGGCGGAGGUUCCAGGUAAAUCCGGUACCUUUUUAACGCUGAGGUGUGAUGACGAGGCACUACGGUGCUGAAGUAACAAAUGCCCUGCUUCCAGGAAAAGCCUCUAAGCAUCAGGUAACACGAAAUCGUACCCCAAACCGACACAGGUGGUCAGGUAGAGAAUACCAAGGCGCUUGAGAGAACUCGGGUGAAGGAACUAGGCAAAAUGGUGCCGUAACUUCGGGAGAAGGCACGCUGAUAUGUAGGUGAAGUGAUUUACUCAUGGAGCUGAAAUCAGUCGAAGAUACCAGCUGGCUGCAACUGUUUAUUAAAAACACAGCACUGUGCAAACACGAAAGUGGACGUAUACGGUGUGACGCCUGCCCGGUGCCGGAAGGUUAAUUGAUGGGGUUAUCCGUAAGGAGAAGCUCUUGAUCGAAGCCCCGGUAAACGGCGGCCGUAACUAUAACGGUCCUAAGGUAGCGAAAUUCCUUGUCGGGUAAGUUCCGACCUGCACGAAUGGCGUAAUGAUGGCCAGGCUGUCUCCACCCGAGACUCAGUGAAAUUGAACUCGCUGUGAAGAUGCAGUGUACCCGCGGCAAGACGGAAAGACCCCGUGAACCUUUACUAUAGCUUGACACUGAACACUGGUCCUUGAUGUGUAGGAUAGGUGGGAGGCUUUGAAGUGUGGACGCCAGUCUGCAUGGAGCCAUCCUUGAAAUACCACCCUUUAAUGGCUGGUGUUCUAACGUGGACCCGUUACCCGGGUUGCGGACAGUGUCUGGUGGGUAGUUUGACUGGGGCGGUCUCCUCCUAAAGAGUAACGGAGGAGCACGAAGGUUAGCUAAUCCUGGUCGGACAUCAGGAGGUUAGUGCAAAGGCAUAAGCUAGCUUGACUGCGAGAGUGACGGCUCGAGCAGGUGCGAAAGCAGGUCUUAGUGAUCCGGUGGUUCUGAAUGGAAGGGCCAUCGCUCAACGGAUAAAAGGUACUCCGGGGAUAACAGGCUGAUACCGCCCAAGAGUUCAUAUCGACGGCGGUGUUUGGCACCUCGAUGUCGGCUCAUCACAUCCUGGGGCUGAAGUAGGUCCCAAGGGUAUGGCUGUUCGCCAUUUAAAGUGGUACGCGAGCUGGGUUUAGAACGUCGUGAGACAGUUCGGUCCCUAUCUGCCGUGGGCGCUGGAGAAUUGAGGGGGGCUGCUCCUAGUACGAGAGGACCGGAGUGGACGCAUCACUGGUGUUCGGGUUGUCAUGCCAAUGGCAUUGCCCGGUAGCUAAAUGCGGAAGAGAUAAGUGCUGAAAGCAUCUAAGCACGAAACUUGCCCCGAGAUGAGUUCUCCCUGAGACUAUAAGUCUCCUGAAGGAACGUUAAAGACGAUGACGUUGAUAGGUCGGGUGUGUAAGCGUAGCGAUACGUUGAGCUAACCGAUACUAAUGAACCGUGAGGCUUAACCUUACAACGCCGAAG